GAAAAUAUUAGAGGAGAAAUAAUGGAAUCUCCUUUUCCCCCAGAACAAACAAUAAGUUUGAAUCAAAAUACUGAAGCUACCCCUUACCUUAGCCUUCAGUUACAAAGAGUUGAACAAAGUCAAGUUACUCUUAAGGAAUUAAAUUCAGUUAUCAGGUCUCAAAAUUAUACCAAUGCUUAUCUUGUUUGCUUAGGAGAACAAUUUAUCUCCAUGGAAAAAGAUCUCUUAUCAAUAAAAGACCUUUUAGAAAAGCAAAUAGAGCGUCAAGAUAUCAUUAUAAAC
rnacentral:lncRNA from 1 species